rnacentral:tRNA from 1 species
GCCCUUGUAGCUCAGGGGACAGAGCGGCUGCCUUGUAAGCAGCGGGUCGGGAGUUCAAAUCUCUCCUGGGGCU